rnacentral:rRNA from 1 species
AUUGAACGCUGGCGGCAGGCUUAACACAUGCAAGUCGAGCGGAGAUGAGGUGCUUGCACCUUAUCUUAGCGGCGGACGGGUGAGUAAUGCUUAGGAAUCUGCCUAUUAGUGGGGGACAACAUUCCGAAAGGAGUGCUAAUACCGCAUACGCCCUACGGGGGAAAGCAGGGGAUCUUCAGACCUUGCGCUAAUAGAUGAGCCUAAGUCGGAUUAGCUAGUUGGUGGGGUAAAGGCCUACCAAGGCGACGAUCUGUAGCGGGUCUGAGAGGAUGGUCCGCCACAAUGGGACUGAGACCCGGCCCAGAGUCCUACGGGAGGCAGCAGUGGGGAAUAUUGGACAAUGGGCGGAAGCCUGAUCCAGCCAUGCCGCGUGUGUGAAGAAGGCCUUUUGGUUGUAAAGCACUUUAAGCGAGGAGGAGGCUACCUGGAUUAAUACUCUAGGAUAGUGGACGUUACUCGCAGAAUAAGCACCGGCUAACUCUGUGCCAGCCGCCGCCGUAACAC